GACGAACGCUGGCGGCGUGCUUAACACAUGCAAGUCGAACGGAAAGGCCCUGCUUUUGUGGGGUGCUCGAGUGGCGAACGGGUGAGUAACACGUGAGUAACCUGCCCUUGACUUUGGGAUAACUUCAGGAAACUGGGGCUAAUACCGGAUAGGAGCUCCUGCUGCAUGGUGGGGGUUGGAAAGUUUCGGCGGUUGGGGAUGGACUCGCGGCUUAUCAGCUUGUUGGUGGGGUAGUGGCUUACCAAGGCUUUGACGGGUAGCCGGCCUGAGAGGGUGACCGGCCACAUUGGGACUGAGGUACGGCCCAGACUCCUACGGGAGGCAGCAGUGGCGAAUAUUGCACGAUGGGCGGAGGCCUGAUGCAGCAACGCCGCGUGCGGGAUGACGGCCUUCGGGUUGUAAACCGCUUUCGCCUGUGACGAAGCGUGAGUGACGGUAAUGGGUAAAGAAGCACCGGCUAACUACGUG
rnacentral:rRNA from 1 species